AAACUCCAGCUGGAAACCAAAGUCACUGUGGGGGAAGAACAUGUCGGCUCUGACAUUUACCGCCUUCAGCUCAGAGUCUGAACUCACAGAAAACCACUUCUGCAUUUACACUACGAGACUGUGUGUUUUGCUCUGAUUAUAAUGUGAUUUGUGGCUGUUUUCCAGAAAUACUCACUCUUUGGCUCGGCAUGAAGAGGCAUCUGCUUUCUCUUCUCCUCCUCCUCCUCUUCCCACAUCUUCCGUAGUUUUUCCGCUGUGUAAGCCAUUUCUUCUGCUCCAGGCUCGUCCAUCUGAGUGUCUUCUGAAAGUCCAUCGUGUAGAUCUUCUCUUUUCGAAAUAACGCCGCUGUUUUGCCUCAUUUGGACGCUUCUGGUCCUCUGUUUGGACUUGGCAGCAUUAACCAACUCUUCAUUGAUAACAAACGUCAAAAUCCAGCACAGGGCAAAUAAGGUUGCAUACAGAGAAACCCUUGGUGCCUUCAUGGUCAUCUGGGACCUUCUACUCCAAUCCUACAAUUUAGAGAUGGUCUCUCUUUGAAUGGAGAUGGUGUCAAUGAAGCUGCUGUGGAAGUCAGAUGUAAGGGGAUUGUGGCUGUUUUUCCUUCUUUCAGUGGAAAGGAAUUCCUCUGACA